rnacentral:rRNA from 1 species
CCUACGGGUGGCAGCAGUGAGGAAUAUUGGUCAAUGGGCGGGAGCCUGAACCAGCCAAGCCGCGUGAGGGAAGAAGGUACAGCGGAUCGUAAACCUCUUUUGUCAGGGAACAAAGGCGGGGACUAGUCCCCGGAUGAGGGUACCUGAAGAAAAAGCAUCGGCUAACUCCGUGCCAGCAGCCGCGGUAAUACGGAGGAUGCGAGCGUUAUCCGGAUUUAUUGGGUUUAAAGGGUGCGCAGGCGGCCUGUUAAGUCAGCGGUAAAAGCCCGGGGCUCAACCCCGGCGAGCCGUUGAAACUGGCGUGCUGGAGUUGGAGAGAAGUACGCGGAAUGCGCGGUGUAGCGGUGAAAUGCUUAGAUAUCGCGCAGAACCCCGAUUGCGAAGGCAGCAUACCGGCUCCACACUGACGCUGAGGCACGAAAGCGUGGGUAUCGAACAGGAUUAGAUACCCUAGUAGUC